GUCUUGUUUAACGAUUUUAUUUCUACUUUUUGUUGGCCUAGUUCAUUUUGUUUCUCAUCAAUUAUUCCCUCUAACUUUUCAAUUUUUUUAUCCCUUUUCUAAUUUUUCUACUUAUAUUUCUUGGCCCAAAACUUUUUGCCAAUUGCUCAUUCAUAUCUUGCAAAUUAUCUAAAUUGGUGUCUAACUGGUUUGAUAAGCUAUCAUAUUUUCCCCCCAAGAUUUACAUUCCCUUUUUAGGUGCAAUGUCUCUUUAUAUUUCCCCCCUGCUAUAUCUAAAAGUCUUAACAAUAUAUGACUCUUAGUCUCAAAAUGUUCAAUUUGCAACUCUAAAUUGUCUAAAUUAAAAUCAGUUUCUUUGAGUUGUCUCUUAAAUUUCACAUUUUCACCAACAUCUC
rnacentral:lncRNA from 1 species